AGGUUAUAACUAGUUAUGAAAUAUUAGUGGAAUCCAGUAGUUAACUACUAGAUUAUAGGAACAUUUUUGACUUUUGAUACAGUCUGGCCCACUAUACAAUCGGCAAGGUUUGAAAGGAGAUACGGAAAGCAUCAACUUUAAUAUUAUAAGUUCAUUUAAUGUUAUAAAAUAUAUACUCUUUAA